rnacentral:rRNA from 1 species
UACGGAGGGUGCAAGCGUUGCUCGGAAUUAUUGGGCGUAAAGGGUAGGUAGGUGGUCUCAUUUGUCUGGGGUGAAAUCCUUGGGCUUAACCCAAGAAGUGCCCCGGAAACGGUGAGACUAGAGUCCUGGAGAGGGUCGUGGAAUUCCCGGUGGUAGCGGUGAAAUGCGUAGAGAUCGGGAGGAACACCAGAGGCGAAGGCGGCGACCUGGACAGGUACUGACACUCAACUACGAAAGCGUGGGGAGCAAACAGG